CCAACUUGCCAUUGUUCUUUUAUAAUCAGACCCACAAGGACAAAUAAUCUUGUGCUAAGUAAGUAUUCAUCUUUUGGAAUUCCAAAUUGUAGAUGUCUUCAUACUUUGACAUUAAAAUAGCAUCACUAAAGGUCUUGGGUCUUGUGCACCCCUUUAUCUCAAAUACUACACAUGUACUACCAACAAGAUAUGAAAUAAAUUCUUAUUGACUUGAAUAGAAAUUUAACAUUUUCAUUUCCUUUGAGAAGCAAAACUCUGGAUGAAUUUCAAACAUUCCCUCUAAUUUUAUCUGUUUCAAUGUCCAGAAAUGGGAAGGGAAAUUACAAAUUUUUAUAGUUGGCAGUAUGAAUCCUAAUUUUACAGAAAUGAAGCAGAGGUGUGGACAGGUGUCAUGACUUCCCUGCCCAAACACUGCAGAUGCAAGAGGCUACAAAGUGAACCCCUGCACUGGGGCUCUCACUGGGUGUGAUAUGCAUGGCCCCAUUUACCCAGAUCUGCUCUCCUUCAUAUCCAUAAUCAGAUCCAUUCCAGAGCAUCAUCCCAAGCAGUGGACUGACCCGUACUGCAGUAGGAAUCCAAGACAAGACUCCAGUCUUCUCUCUACCACCAAGGCAGAAUGGAUCCUGCACAGAAUGCCACAGUGUAUUUUUGUUCCUUGACUGUUUAACAUAGGGCCCACAAUAAACACUCAAUAACAGUUACUAAAUGUUUUUAAAAUGUAUUUAACAAUAAUAUCUGGAAACAAGAUGUGUAUGUGUACAGACAGCUAUUUCUGAUCUACUCCUGAAAAAAAGAUGUCUUUUUCAAGACAGCCUUAAAAUGAAGUAUUUGUAUGACAGUACAAAGAUUUGUCUUGAAACAUUUCAUAAAUAUUUAAUAUUUUGUUUUACAAAUGUAUGGUUUCUUGGGUCACUUAGUUGUUAGUUGGUUUAAACUAAUGUAAUAGCAGCUUCAAACUCAAGGUUUAAAAAGGGAAAGGAAGUACAUGGCCCCUCUUUUGCUGCUUUGCUUGAAAUUUUAUUUUAUUUUAUUUAUUUUUGG
ensembl:lncRNA